rnacentral:sRNA from 1 species
GCAGCAUUUCACCCACUCAAGGAUUAUUGUCUAGAGACCAUAUUUUACAUCCUUCCACGCCUUUCAGGCCUUAUUGAAGAUGAAUGGAUCACCAUUGAUAAAUUUACCAGAUUCACUGAUGUUCCUUUAGCUGCGGGAUUUCAGUGGUACCUUUCUCAAACUCAACUUAGUAAACUAAAACCAGGUGACUGGUCUCAGCAAGACAUAGGUACUAAUUUGGUCGAAGCAGAUAACCAAGCGGAGUGGACCGACGUUCAGAAGAAGAUUAUCCCGUGGAACAGUCGUGUUCCCGACUUAGACCUGGAGCUCCUGUUUCAGGAUCGUGCUGCCAGACUUGGAAAGUCAAUUAGUAGGCUCAUCGUCGUGGCCUCGCUCAUCGACAAACCGACCAAUUUAGGAGGUAAAACCACCUCAGCUAAUUGACUAUCUGCAGCAGAAGAAAACAGAAGGUUAUACCAUCAUUGGAGUGGAACAAACUGCCAGAAGUUUAGACCUAACCCAAUAUUGCUUUCCUGAGAAAUCUCUACUCUUGUUGGGAAAUGAACGUGAGGGAAUUCCAGCAAAUCUGAUCCAACAGUUGGACGUUUGUGUGGAAAUUCCUCAACAGGGCAUUAUCCGCUCCCUGAACGUCCACGUGAGUGGAGCCCUGCUGAUCUGGGAGUACACCAGGCAGCAGCUGCUCUCGCACGGAGAUACCAAGCCAUGAUGUGCCUUCCUCAGUGAACUGCUGCUGCUGUUCAGACUUUUUUUAAAAAAACUAUUUGGACUAAAGAAACAGAUUCUGAAAUUUAUUGUGAUAAUUUGUAUUUCUUUUUUCUUGCAAUUUAAUGCCAAAAGUUUGCCAUGUGCCUUAAACAUAUUACUAUAUAUUUU